AUAUCGACUUGCCUUCACUUCCAAACUCACACUCGCAACCUUUUUCGGAUCACCUGCAACCGCCGGCACUCACCACCACCGAGACCACAAAACCCUCUCUGCUCCUCCGCACCCCGCCGGAACUCGCCGGAGGAGACAACCCCACCUAACCGGAAACCGCACUCAAACGCGCCGGAACCACUACUGUUAGCUUCGUCGGAGAAGGAGACCGGAGAAGAGAAACCGAGACGCCGGAGAAGACGAAGUAGUCGGAAAGCCGCCUGAAACCACUGACGUCGCCGGAGAAGACGCACGUCCGGGUAAUCUUCUUGCGCUCGUUGCAACUUCUUGCAAUCUUUUGGAUAAUCUCAAACCUUCUACUCUAAUCUCUUUCUAAGAAACGCAACGCAAUCUAAGGUUGAUAGAUGAAGAAUUCAAGAAUCAAGUUAGGUGGAUUAGAAACACACCUAGAAAUAAACUAUGUUGGAAUCUUGUUGGUUUAUUUGAACAAUGUAUGACAUUUUAGCAUUUAUGAAAUUGAAUUUAAAUUAUA